UACGUAGGGCGCAAGCGUUAUCCGGAAUUAUUGGGCGUAAAGAGCUCGUAGGCGGUUCGUCGCGUCGGCUGUGAAAUCCCGGAGCUCAACUCCGGGUCUGCAGUCGAUACGGGCGGACUUGAGUUCGGCAGGGGAGACUGGAAUUCCUGGUGUAGCGGUGAAAUGCGCAGAUAUCAGGAGGAACACCGGUGGCGAAGGCGGGUCUCUGGGCAGUAACUGACGCUGAGGAGCGAAAGCGUGGGGAGCGAACAGG
rnacentral:rRNA from 1 species